rnacentral:rRNA from 1 species
CCUACGGGAGGCAGCAGUGGGGAAUUUUGCGCAAUGCUCGUAAGAGUGACGCAGCGACGCCGCGUGAAUGACGAAGGCCUUCGGGUCGUAAAGUUCUUUCGACAGGGAAGAAAAUGCCUAUAAGUAACUGUGUAUGUAUUGACGGUACCCGUAUAAGCAGCCCCGGCUAACUCCGUGCCAGCAGCCGCGGUAAUACGGAGGGGGCGAGCGUUGUUCGGAGUGACUGGGCGUAAAGAGCACGUAGGCGGGGUUGUAAGUCAUUAGUCAAAGAGUAGUGCUCAACUUUAGUAAGGCUAGUGAUACUAUAAUACUAGAGUAUCAGAGAGGAUUGCAGAAUGCCUGGUGUAGCGGUGAAAUGCGUAGAUAUCAGGAGGAAUACCGUUAGCGAAGGCGACUAUCUGGCACAUAACUGACGCUGAGGAGCGAAAGCGUGGGUAGCAAACAGGAUUAGAUACCCUUGUAGUC